CUCCUAUCCAAUCACCCCAUGAUGCGAAUAAAGCAUUCAAUGCCUGCCCUUUUCGAAUCACGUAACACAUUGUUGUCACAUACGAGAAGGUCCUUUCCAGCCCGAAUUUUGCGUGAAUCAGUGAUUUCAUGAAUCCCCCAUUUAUAUUCUAUUAGAUCGGCCGAGAUAGUCCAGAUUCGUGAUAACUGAAAUAAUUAGUGGUGAUACAGAUGAUGGUGUAAAAUGUGAUUAUCAGAGGAGAAAGUUCAUUGGGGGCAGCGAGUUACGACCCGCUGUGUGAUUGUUGUAAAUAAAAACAUUUGUACGACUUUUUUAUGUUAACGUGAUUACGUAUUUACAAAGUCAUUCCAUAUGCUACGAUUAUAAAUACAAUUUUCAAAGGAA